GCUAAGAUCCAAUGUGUUUUAAAUUGACAUAUUGUAAUAAUAAAUCAAUGUUAGGUUUAUGUAGUUUUAAUUUAUUGAUCUAAAAAAAACGAUUUUUUUCAAGUUCAAUAAUUUUUUAGUUAUUGAGAUUUUAUCUAUUUAAUAAAGUAAGAUAUUAUUUUAAUUUAAUUUAUAUAAUGCCAUGGAAUGGUUUAAGAUCUAAG
rnacentral:lncRNA from 1 species